rnacentral:rRNA from 1 species
UACGUAGGGGGCGAGCGUUGUCCGGAGUUACUGGGCGUAAAGCGCUUGUAGGCGGUCCACCAAGUUUGGGGUGACAGUUGCCGACUUAAUCGGCAAAGUGCCUCAAAGACUGGCGGACUUGAGGGCCACAGAGGGACAUGGAACUCCAGGUGUAGUGGUGAAAUGCGUAGAUAUCUGGAAGAACACCAAAGGCGAAGGCAGUGUCCUGGGUGGUCGCUGACGCUGAGAGGCGAAAGCGUGGGGAGCGAACAGG